GCUCUGCCUUUGAGCUCCCAUUGUGCCUGCUCUCUGGUGCCGAGGGUUAGCUCGACAGUGGCACAUGUGCUCAAGCUUAACUAGGGCAGCCUGGCUAGUGGGUGGUCCUUUUAAAAGAGCCUGACUU